rnacentral:rRNA from 1 species
GACGAACGCUGGCGGCGUGCUUAACACAUGCGAGUCGAACGGAAAGGCCCUGCUUUUGUGGGGUGCUCGAGUGGCGAACGGGUGAGUAACACGUGAGUAACCUGCCCUUGACUUUGGGAUAACUUCAGGAAACUGGGGCUAAUACCGGAUAGGAGCUCCUGCUGCAUGGUGGGGGUUGGAAAGUUUCGGCGGUUGGGGAUGGACUCGCGGCUUAUCAGCUUGUUGGUGGGGUAGUGGCUUACCAAGGCUUUGACGGGUAGCCGGCCUAAGAGGGUGACCGGCCACAUUGGGACUGAGAUAGGGCCCAGACUCCUACGGGAGGCAGCAGUGGGGAAUAUUGCACAAUGGGCGGAAGCCUGAUGCAGCAACGCCGCGUGCGGGAUGACGGCCUUCGGGUUGUAAACCGCUUUCGCCUGUGACGAAGCGUGAGUGACGGUAAUGGGUAAAGAAGCACCGGCUAACUACGUG